UAUAUACUCCUCCGUCCCAAAUUAAUUGUCUUAGAUUUGUCUAUAUGUGGAUGUAUCUAGACACGUUUAGUGUUAGGUACAUCUGUAUCUACUCAAAUCUAAAACAAUUAAUAUGGGAGAGCUCGUAUUAU
rnacentral:pre_miRNA from 1 species